rnacentral:sRNA from 1 species
GGAGCGGGGGACCACCAGGUUGCCUAAGGAGGGGUGAACCGGCCCAGGUCGGAAACGGAGCAGGUCAAAACUCCCGGGCUGAUCAGUAGUGGGAUCGCGCCUGUGAAUAGCCACUGUACUCCAGCCUGGGCAACAUAGCGAGACCCCGUCUCU